UUAAAUUCAUUUUCUUGAAAAAAAAAUUCAAAAAUCUUAAUUCUAUUACUAUUACUCUAAAAUCCGAUGGAUCCAAAUUUGAAUGAUGGCGGGUUAGAUUUUGACUCCCACUCGCAACAACAAGUACAAACGCCUUCCACUCCCUCUCCUCCUCUGCCUUCCACCGCCACUCCUGUCGCAAGUCCGCCGUCGACUAAUAGAACCUCCAACUCUUUAGAAACUGCUCCUUCCACAGCCACUCCUGUAGCAAGUUUGCCGCCGAGUAAUGGAACCUCCGUCUCUUUAGAAACUGCUCCUUCCACCGCCACUCCUGUUGCAAGUCCGCCGCCGACUUAUGGAAUCUCCAACUGCUCAGAAACUGCGCCUUUCACCGCUAGUCCCGUCGUACGUCCACCGCUGAAUAAUGGAACCUCCGAAUGGUCAGCCACCCCGACUAAUGGAACCUCCAAUUGUUCAGAAACUUUAGUUAAUCCUCAAUUUGUCGCAGGGAAUACGCCGGAUAGUCGAGGGCGUCUUAAAAGAGGAAGGCCAAAAAUAGAUGCCACACCAGAAGAGUUUUCUUUAAAAAAAUCUUUAAAAAUAUCUUCAGAGGAUGAUACAAAUUUUAAGACUCAUGUUGUCAAUGUGGCUUCUGAAGAGGAUGUAUACCAGAAAAUAUUGUCAUUAAUGCAAAAAACAAAAAAGGUGGUAUGCAUCUUAGCAGCUCAUGGUUUUACAUCUAGAGCAUCUCUACAACUACUAACCACAAUUGGAAAAAUUGUAACAUACAAGGUAUAUAAUAUAUUAAUUUUCUUCUUCAUGCAGCUUGAUUCUGAUUAUGCCUAUAUCGUUUGGAAUUAGUACAAAUUUUUCAAAUUUUUUUGUUCUAUUUAGUUUCUUCCUUGCUUAGAUCUUUUAUUAACUUAUGUGAGUUAAAAUGGUUUUGUUGGAGCAGAAUGAUUAUGUUUAUUCUUGGACCUUAAAUGAAUUUUUCUUGGCAGGUGUCUGUUAGAGUAUAUAACAUAUCUUAGGGCGUCAACCAUCAGCUUAAGCUUUUGGUUGAGUUGGUUCCUCGACAUGGUAUCAAAAGCCAACGUGAUAAGAGGUCAUGGGUCCGAAUCUCAACCACCCCUCAUUUAAAGUGGAAUAUUCAGUGCCUACGCGCAUCCACAAUUCUAGCCCAAUGGGCUCUCAUGUGAGAUGACGUGUUAGAGUAUAUAACAAAUCCUGGGGUCUCAACCAUCAAUUUAAGAUUUUGGUUGAGUUUGUUUAUAUACUCUAACACACGCCCUCACACGAGAGCCUUUUGGGCUAGAAGUGUGGAUGCAACAUAGGUCCUCUUCAUACCUGGCGCUUAUUCCACUUUUAAAUGAGGAGUGGUUUAGAGUCGAACUCGUGAACUCUUGUCACGUUGGCUCUGAUACCAUGUACUCAACCAAAAGUUUAAGCUAAUGGUUGAGACCCUAAGAUAUGUUAUAUACUUUAACAGUGCCUCUGUUUAUUAUAGAUCACUUUGACCAAUUUAUGUAUGUUCAGGACAGUGUCACAUGAUUCGUUAAUGUCCUCGUGAAUCAAGAAAAGCGAAUUAUGGUUGGUUUUGGGCUAUUUUUGGAAAAAUUGAGCGAAUAACGAAUUCAAAAAGUAAUUAGCUUGCGAUUCAUGUUAUACUGGUUGUGGAGUUGAUCAAGGAUGUUUCCAAAUUUCUCUUGGAUAUACUACAAACUACUAAAAAUGCCUUGGAUAAUGGACUAUGAGACGUGUCUAUGAUUCCUGAUGGUUGUUAACUGCUGGCUUGUAAAGAAGCCUAGAAUGUAGAAGUCUAGUUUACUUGCUGAAAGCCUGAAAGGGGCCAAUCUGGUAAUGAGUUAAUAAGAUCUAUGGCUGUACGAGUGCUUUUAGGGAAUAUUGUUGGAACUGAAAGAGUGAAUGUUUUUGUGAUCUACAUUACCCAUAAAUGUUUGGGCACAAGUACCUGUUCAAGUGUCAGCAAUUCCAGGAUCAAAAUUUUAGACUAAGGAUCAUUGUCAUGGCCAGGCAUACACCAUGCAUGAACAGUACAUACCUGAUAGAAGAAUUUCAUAUGCUUUAGUUGACUUAUUUGCUACUCCCUUUGCAAGCACUAUAUCACUCAGCAUAUUCUUUCUCUAUUUUUUUACAAAAAAUUUUUGAUAUCUGGACUCUGGAUAAGGAUUGGAAGUUUCAGUUAACCCUAGCAGGCUAGCACCACUAGUUAGAGUAUUUAGUAUAGGUCUAUGUUACACGUAUCCGUGUCCAAUUCUUGAUGCUCGGACAUUGGUAUGACACUUAGACACUUUAUUUUUGGCGUAAAAUUGAAUAUUUAGACGUAUUCAACACUUGGACACGCACCGGUAUCCAACGUCAGUGAGUCCAAGUAAAAUUGAAUAUUUAGGCUUAAAAUCGAAUAGUUAGAGUAUUGAGUGUAGGUCAUCUCUUGCUUUUCCUUGUAUGUUAUGACUUUAUACCUAGUUUUCAGCCUGCCUGUUUUUUAAACGAGUGUAUAAUCAUAAAAACGUAUGCUCAUUUUUAACUGUGGGGGCUAUAAAGUUGCUGCGUUUUCUCAUUUUUGUGUUAGAGAUGUCGUCAAAUCCUUUCGCUUACUGGCUCUUAUGUCGAUUCACAUUCUGAAGAGAAAACGGGAGGUCUUAAUGCAUCUCUACUUGACACAGAUGGACAGGUUGUUGGAGGCCGCUUAGUCGGUCCUCUAAUUGCUGCAGGCCCUGUUGAGGUCUUAGUUGCUACCUUUGUCAUCAAACCUAAGAAAGAUGCUAGUGCUGGUGUCCAAAAUCAUGCUUCUUCAAGUUUAAUACCGGCAGCAGCUUCUGACAUUUUAAUGCCGUCAGCUAAUUCUGCAUUUACUAAAUAUC